AUGGACUUUAGACUCAAGGGAAUUUUCCUUCUGAUUAUUUUGCAAGGUGUCCAUUGUGAUAUUCAGCUGGUGGAGUCUGGGGGAGACGUGAGACAGCCUGGAGGAUCCCUGAAACUCUCCUGCAAAGCUUCUGGAUUCACCUUCAGCAGCAAUAGCAUGAAUUGGGUCCGCCAGGCUCCAGAGAAGGGGCUAGAGUGGGUCUCAUACAUUAGGGGUGAUGGAAGGAGCACAAGCUAUGCAGACUUUGUGAAAGGCUGA